rfam:Dictyostelium discoideum AX4 chromosome 2, whole genome shotgun sequence.
GUCUUUACGCUGGGACCAAAGCAGUAGGGCGUGACCGAUAAGGGAUCCACUGUUAGUGCUUUUUGCAAACUAUUCCACAACGCAGUCCGAAACAAUUCGGCCUGCAAUUUUUAAUUCUAUCCUAAUUGGAUA